rnacentral:rRNA from 1 species
AGGGAAUCUUGCGCAAUGGGCGAAAGCCUGACGCAGCGACGCCGCGUGAGGGAUGAAGGCCUUCGGGUCGUAAACCUCUGUCCUUGGGGACGAUGAUGACGGUACCCAAGGAGGAAGCCCCGGCUAACUACGUGCCAGCAGCCGCGGUAAUACGUAGGGGGCGAGCGUUGUCCGGAAUUAUUGGGCGUAAAGGGUGCGUAGGCGGCAUGGCAAGUCCUGUGUGAAAGGUCGCGGCUUAACCGCGGUGGGUCAUGGGAAACUGCCAAGCUUGAGUGCCGGAGAGGAUAGCGGAAUUCCACGUGUAGCGGUGAAAUGCGUAGAUAUGUGGAGGAACACCUGUGGCGAAGGCGGCUAUCUGGAAGGUAACUGACGCUGAGGCACGACAGCUGGGGGAGCAAAC